AGUGGCGGACGGGUGAGUAACGCGUGAGAAUCUGCCUUGGGGUCGGGGACAACCACUGGAAACGGUGGCUAAUACCGGAUAAGCCGAUUGGUGAAAGAUUUAUUGCCCGAAGAGGAGCUCGCGUCUGAUUAGCUAGUUGGUGAGGUAAGAGCUCACCAAGGCAGCGAUCAGUAGCUGGUCUGAGAGGACGAUCAGCCACACUGGGACUGAGACACGGCCCAGACUCCUACGGGAGGCAGCAGUGGGGAAUUUUCCGCAAUGGGCGAAAGCCUGACGGAGCAAGACUGCGUGAGGGAGGAAGGCUCUUGGGUUGUAAACCUCUUUUCUCAGGGAAGAAGCUCUGACGGUACCUGAGGAAUCAGCCUCGGCUAACUCCGUGCCAGCAGCCGCGGUAAUACGGAGGAGGCAAGCGUUAUCCGGAAUUAUUGGGCGUAAAGCGUCCGCAGGUGGCGAUUCAAGUCUGCUGUCAAAGCACGGGGCUUAACUCCGUAAAGGCAGUGGAAACUGAAUAGCUAGAGUGCCGUAGGGGUAGAGGGAAUUCCCGGUGUAGCGGUGAAAUGCGUAGAGAUCGGGAAGAACAUCGGUGGCGAAAGCGCUCUACUGGACGGCAACUGACACUCAGGGACGAAAGCUAGGGGAGCGAAUGGGAUUAGAUACCCC
rnacentral:rRNA from 1 species